rnacentral:lncRNA from 10 species
GCAGGCUUGAGUUUUCAGACCAUGAGAAGACUCACAAGGAGAGCUGGCAGCCUUCAGGACCUUCAGGAGCAGAAGGAAGCUGUCAUUACGAAAGCAUGAUUGGAGGUGGGGUACUUCGAAAGGCUCUUACUUUUAAGGGCGGGAUGAGAAAAUCAAGGCUGUAGGAACUGCAAUAGCUAACCAAUCAGGUUUGGACCAGCCAGUCUUCUAGACCAUUCAACAGCAACGCUGAAACAGCCCUAUCCCUCCAAAAGACAUAAACACAGAAAAAAUGGCCACACAACUUCAAGAAUAUGCAGAAAUGGAUGGAAUAACUACAACAGGGGAUAUUGGGAAUGGAAGGAACCGAGACCCACUGGCUACUCACAGCAGCUUCUCCGGGGACCAAGGGAGAGAGAAAUUGGGCUGCUGUGUCCUCACCAUCGGGAAACAUCCGACCAACCAGGGAAAAACACAUUCCUGGAUUUCUGCCUUCAAUUCUUGCAAUAAUAAUGUAACAGCCUCAGAUCCUUUCCAGUUUUUAGACAUAAAGAUGACUGUCUAGCAGCAGGUUUUGCUGAAUCCCCAGCACAGAAGCAACAGCCAAGUCCUAUUUAAACGUUUCAUUGUGCAGAUCAUAAAGCAGAAUUCCUGCAUCCAUUUGUUCACUUAGUAUUCAUUCAUUCAUUCAUUCAUCCACUCGUUAUGGUGAGUAAAAAGUAGACCGCCAUAAACAGCCUUUCCUCCUGAGUGUCCCCAUUGAGAGUGGCAGCCAACGUGAGACUAGUCACCAGCUGCCAAGGAAGCAAUGGGGUGCCUCAAAGAGAGGGUGCAGGAGCCCACCACACGGCACCUGCUCCUUCUCAGGAAAAAUGAUGAUGUCAGCCUCUUUACUGGUGACUCUAUUGGAGGAACAAAAUUUAACUGACUAAAAUUAGUGUCUCAAUUGUAUAUUAAUUAAAAAAGGAACACAACUUGACACACGUUUAAAGAUGUUUAGAUGGUCAUGAAGAGAAGGUGGGACUCAGUCCUGAUUUUUCAGUGCACCAUCAAUAACCAGUCAUGUAUGGCUACAAAAUCAUAAAGUAUUGCUAACACACGGGAUGGUGUGCAGAGGCCCUGAGUCCUGAAAGCACCUGUGGACACCCUGCUCUGAUGAGAAGGCCCAAAUGAGGCCCUCCUGUGGGUUGCGUGCUGCACGCUCAUUCUUUAAAUAAUGCUUUGGGCCCCCAGCUGAGAUGAAAGAAGAGUGGCUGGAGGAUGAUGGAAGCAGUAAGGCAACCCCACCAGAUUAUUUAGGAUGCUUCCUGAAACACAGGGGCUAGAGGACAGCAAACAAAGAGGCAGCUGCCCACCUCAGCCCUAACCCCUCAACAAGACCACCCAACCAAGCCAGACAAAGGCCAGAAAGCCCAGCGUUCCCUUUCCUGAGGAGCCAGUGGGCUGGGGCUCCUGAGAACGGGUGAGAUUCAUGGACGAAGAGAAGGGUCAGAAACGCUGCACCAAGCUCCAAUUUCACAUGACUCCAGCGCAACCACAGGCCUUACCGCCGGGCCUGGAGGGACUCUCACACCUGAUGGUCAAGACCCGAUUCAGGCUGAAACAUUUCACUUCUCUAACCAGAGUGACGUGUGGCCAUCUGCUUCUCACACCUCAUGCUAGCCAACACUGCAAGUAUCCAGUAUCAAAAGCAUGUUUUCCACCCUGCGCCCUCCUGGGGAGAGGCUGCGGACUUCCUCUGUACCUCCACCCUGCACUCUCUGCCACCCCACUACGUGUCCAGUUCCUUCCAUUUCUCUCUCCAAACUCAAGGGAUCAUUUGCAUCUUGAGAUAAACACAUUAAACGAAUCUACU